rnacentral:rRNA from 1 species
AUCUACAGCCAUAUCACCCUGCAGCCCAAGACUGGUUGCCCACUGAAGCUAAGCAGGGUUGAGCCUGGUCAGUACCUGCAUGGGAGACCUCCUGGGAAAACUAGGUUGCUGUUGGAA